GCAGUCGUGGCCGAGUGGUUAAGGUGAUGGACUAGAAAUCCAUUGGGGUCUCCCCGCACAGGUUCGAAUUCUGUCGACUGCG
rnacentral:tRNA from 1 species